AAAGAAUUUUCAACCCAGAAUUUCAUAUCCAGCCAAACUAAGCUUCAUAAGUGAAGGAGAAAUAAAAUACUUUACAGACAAGCAAAUGCUGAGAGAUUUUGUCACCACCAGGCCUGCCUUACAAGAGCUCCUGAAGGAAGCACUAAACAUGGAAAGGAACAACCGGUACCAGCCACUGCAAAAUCAUGCCAAAUUGUAAAG
rnacentral:misc_RNA from 1 species